CCAAAGUCAAACUGUCAUGGCCAGCUGCAACUUAUUUGGAUUUGAAGUCACAAGACGCCCUAAAGGAGAUCAUCCAGACAGUUUGUUAUAAAUCAACUUCUGGACCAAAUUCUACCGAUGGCGGCCAUUGUUGCCUUCUUAACGCUCCCACAGAGGAGACUGAGCCAGCCCUUGUUGCUACGUCAGAGGAAAUUGUGUUCCCAUGGUACAUCCCAUGCUGUAGAAGUUGUCCUUGUAUUCAUGGCGGUGUUCCUGGACGGUUAUGGUGGAGCCCACUCCUUUGGAUGUGCACAUCUUGUUUGCUGAUGGAUUCCUAAAGAAAAAAAAAAAAACAAUCCGCCUCUACAUCAUUUUCCCGUCCUGAUGCAACCUUUGGACCUCUCUCUGCUUUUCAGAUGUUAUUGGCCCAACAGAUAAGAGGUUUCAUUGGCAGUCGUGCUGAAACAAGGAUGCAGCAAUAUCAAAGUCUAUCAGAUGAACCCAGAUUGAAAUGCUGCCUCCAAUCUCUCCUCUCAAUUAUCUGCUGAAUGGCGCCGGCGCUGAGGCUUUUGUGUGCGGAUGCCUGCGAACGCAGCAGUCAUAGAAGCUCUUUAUAGGCUCAAGGCUGCAUGUUGCUAAAUGAGUGAAGAACAGGACAAUUAAAAGGCAGCUGAAAUGAA